CCUACGGGUGGCAGCAGUGAGGAAUAUUGGUCAAUGGGCGUAAGCCUGAACCAGCCAAGUCGCGUGAGGGAUGAAGGUUCUAUGGAUCGUAAACUUCUUUUAUAAGGGAAUAAAGUGCGGGACGUGUCCCGUUUUGUAUGUACCUUAUGAAUAGGGAUCGGCUAACUCCGUGCCAGUAGCCGCGGUAAUACGGAGGAUGCGAGCGUUAUCCGGAUUUAGUGGGUUUAAAGGGUGCGUAGGCGGCUUUUUAAGUCAGCGGUGAAAGUCUGUGGCUCAACCAUAGAAUUGCCGUUGAAACUGGGAGGCUUGAGUGUGUUUGAGGUAGGCGGAAUGCGUGGUGUAGCGGUGAAAUGCUUAGAUAUCACGCAGAACCCCGAUUGCGAAGGCAGCUUGCCAAGCCAUAACUGACGCUGAUGCACGAAAGCGUGGGGAUCAAACAGGAUUAGAUACCCCAGUAGUC
rnacentral:rRNA from 1 species